rnacentral:rRNA from 1 species
GUGGGGAAUCUUAGACAAUGGGGGAAACCCUGAUCUAGCCAUGCCGCGUGAGCGAUGAAGGCCUUAGGGUUGUAAAGCUCUUUCAGCUGGGAAGAUAAUGACGGUACCAGCAGAAGAAGCCCCGGCUAACUCCGUGCCAGCAGCCGCGGUAAUACGGAGGGGGCUAGCGUUGUUCGGAAUUACUGGGCGUAAAGCGCACGUAGGCGGAUUGGAAAGUUGGGGGUGAAAUCCCGGGGCUCAACCCCGGAACUGCCUUCAAAACUCCCAGUCUUGAGGUCGAGAGAGGUGAGUGGAAUUCCGAGUGUAGAGGUGAAAUUCGUAGAUAUUCGGAGGAACACCAGUGGCGAAGGCGGCUCACUGGCUCGAUACUGACGCUGAGGUGCGAAAGCGUGGGGAGCAAACAGGAUUAGAAACCCUGGUAGUCC